rnacentral:rRNA from 2 species
CUGCAAGUCGAGCGAACUGAUUAGAAGCUUGCUUCUAUGACGUUAGCGGCGGACGGGUGAGUAACACGUGGGCAACCUGCCUGUAAGACUGGGAUAACUUCGGGAAACCGAAGCUAAUACCGGAUAGGAUCUUCUCCUUCAUGGGAGAUGAUUGAAAGAUGGUUUCGGCUAUCACUUACAGAUGGGCCCGCGGUGCAUUAGCUAGUUGGUGAGGUAACGGCUCACCAAGGCAACGAUGCAUAGCCGACCUGAGAGGGUGAUCGGCCCCACUGGGACUGAGACACGGCCCAGACUCCUACGGGAGGCAGCAGUAGGGAAUCUUCCGCAAUGGACGAAAGUCUGACGGAGCAACGCCGCGUGAGUGAUGAAGGCUUUCGGGUCGUAAAACUCUGUUGUUAGGUCAAGAACAAGUACAAGAGUAACUGCUUGUACCUUGACGGUACCUAA